CAGUUAGCCCCAAAAUGUAUCAAAGGCAAACUUCAAGACAUGAGGACUCUGGGCUCUGUGACAUAAAAGACAAAAUCGAGGAGGUCCUUCUAGCAUCGGAGGGUUUACCGGCUGUUUCAGCCAAGCUGAGAGAGCUGUGCAAGCGUAGCGAGGGCCUUACUGAACAGCAGAGUGAGGUUCUAAGAACCUCGUUCAAGUGCUGUGUGUGCAGAGGAGUGAUGGACAGUCCCGUAUUGGCACGCUGCUGUCGCAGUCUAAUUGGCUGUAGACAGUGUGUUGAUUUAUUUGUUCAGGAAGGUCAAGCAUGUGUAAAAUGCAGGUCUGCCAUUUCAAGAGAAUCAAUUGUGGUUGUUGCUGGCCUCUCUGAAGUUUUAAAUGUUAUUAAGGCCUUAGAUGAGCAGUACAGCUCGGCCUGAGGUUGCAACGGUUAGUGUAGCAUUCUGAAGGAUAAAACAUAUGGCAAUAUGGACAUUUUUAAUACAAUAUAAAAAGUGUUUAUUUGCCAUGUGUCUAUUACCAUGUUUUGUUUUUUAAUACCAUUUCUAAUCUGAUUUGCAUUUUGAAUGUUUAAACAAUUCGUUGUAAUGUUUUUAUUCAUCAGGUCUGUUGACUGUUUUGUAAUAGUUUUUCUCAGCAUUCUUGAUGCGAAGUCAAUGUUUGCAUGUAACACGUUAAUGCAAAUAUGUAGUUUACACUAAAAAAUACAAUAUGCAAACUGAAAGAUUUUAAUAUUUCAUUGUAAUAGGUUUGUUAACUGUUUUGUAAUAGUUGUUGUCAGUAAUAUGUAAUACUUUAAUGCAUACCAAUGCAAUAAUAACAAUGCAAUGUAAACUGAUUGUUCCAGGCCAUCUUUUUCAAACCAUGGCCAUCUGUUUGUGAAAUGUUAAAGACGUUAAUGUUUUAAACAUGUUCUGUUUGCAUGCAGUGGCAUACUGAGUAAAAACAAAAUAAAGUUGUAGUUCAUUUACAUUUAAUUUAUUAGACUAUUUUGUCAGUACCAGUUUGUUUUGCUUUAAACUGACCAAUACAAAUCAUUGACUUAAAUGAUC
ensembl:lncRNA